rnacentral:rRNA from 1 species
UUUGUGUCAGCAGCCGCGGUAAUACGUAGGGGGCGAGCGUUACCCGGAUUCACUGGGCGUAAAGGGGGCGUAGGCGACUCAGUGUGUCGGGUGUGAAAUCCCACGGCUCAACCGUGGAAUUGCGCCCGAAACUACUGGGUUUGGGGCUGGUAGAGGGAGAUGGAACUGCUGGUGUAGGGGUGAAAUCCGUAGAUAUCAGCAGGAACGCCGGUGGGGAAGCCGGUCUCCUGGGCCAUGCCCGACGCUGAGGCCCGAAAGCUAGGGGAGCAAACCGGAUUAGAUACCCGGGUAGUCCUAGCCGUAAACGAUGCUCACUAGGUGUGGGGGAGUCAUUCCUCCGUGCUGCAGUUAACGC